AAGUCAACAUUGUUUUGUAUGCAGUUGUAAUUUUUCUUUUGUCUCUCCAGACAAUGUGCCUACCACCUGUGAAAACAAAACCAAACAAACAAAAAGCCCUGGGAUCACUGCAAAUCCAUCCACAAAAGGCACUCCCACCUUCAAGUGUCAGGUUACUUCUAUUGAAAAGGACUCAGAGAUGUGUACCCGGAAGAGAUCAAGUUCUAACCUGAAACCAACCUUGCGUGAGAGAUUUGUGGCUCCUGACCAAGAGAAGCCAAUACAAGGAGAUGGGCCUGAGCUCCUGAAUAUUCAAAACAUUAGUUUUUCCUUCCCACACAUUACUCAGGAGACCAAGGACUCCAUGGCCAAAAACAAAACAAAACAAACAAACAAACAAAAAACAAAAGGAUGAAGACUUGACAUACAUCAGAGAAGUACAAAAUGGAAUUACUCCCCAAGUGAACUUCGAGACAUAAUUAAUGUAUAGCAAAGAGAAUCGUAACCCCAUGUCUGAGAGUAGAUCUUGAUUGUGUUAGACGGGGUUGAGGGUUGAGAAUGGUGAAAGAUGAGUGUAUUAAGUAAGACUUUGUCAGUAAGGAAUCCUCAGCCCAUGACUGAAAGCUCCCUGGCUAGGGUACAGGGAAGAGUUCUAUUUGGUUUGGAUGCUUACCAUGAGCUUGGGCCUGGGGAAAGGGAAGUCAUGCAUUAAAUUAAGUAGACAUGACAGAAAUGCUUUGGCGGAAUUUUGAUCAAGAGCUCACAGACCCAGAGAAGCAAACUGCAUGCUGGAGUUAUUCUGUUAUGUAACAGCAGCUGUUAACUGGAGGGAUUUGAGCUCACGCUUACCUCUAAGCUGGCCAGGACCAAGCUAGGAUUGAGAGUGCUAUUCUUGAGCACGAGGGUCAAGGCCCUGCUUACAAGAAAUGUGUACAGCAGAGAUUUCAGUACAUACGACUUUACAUACUUCACAUUGAACUUACAUUUUAAACUUAAACUCAGCACUUACACUUGAUACAGUCUAUGCAAAAUUUCCUUCUCAGUUCUGGAAUACUGUGGAAUUCUACUUUCAUAUGAAUGAUAAUUUAUAUGUUAGAUUUCAAAAAAAGAUCUUUAUGUGGUCCCCAAUUUUGGUUAGUUACCCUUCUCUACACAGCUUUCUAGCUUACCUACUGCCUAGUUUUGAGUGGUUCUUUUAAUUUAUAUCUAAAGAAGUAAGUUUUUCCAAAUAGUCCCCUAGACCCUUGCAAAUAAGAUUAAUAUCUUAUGCCUCAGAAUUUGUUGAGGCAUUCUAUGCCUAACAAAUUAUUUGUUAGAAUUUUCCAUCUAUUAUUUUAAUAUUUCCGUUUAUUAAGCAUGACAUACCUGUGCUUAUCAUUGUUAAUUGCAAUGUAAACAUUACAACACUCAUACAUCAGCUCUUUAAUUGCCUGAAUCACUUUAAAUCCUUGAGAUAAGCUUAAUUAGAUAGUAGAUUUACUAUGGAAUGAUAAACUGGAAUGUGUAAACACACAUUAAUAAAGCCAGUUGUUUGCUCUGCA
rnacentral:lncRNA from 1 species